rnacentral:rRNA from 1 species
ACAAGCGGUGGAUGAUGUGGUUUAAUUCGAUGCAACGCGAAAACCUUACCCACCUUUGACAUGUACGGAAUCCUUUAGAGAUAGAGGAGUGCUCGAAAGAGAGCCGUAACACAGGUGCUGCAUGGCUGUCGUCAGUUCGUGUCGUGAGAUGUUGGGUUAAGUCCCGCAACGAGCGCAACCCUUGUCAUUAGUUGCUACAUUCAGUUGGGCACUCUAAUGAGACUGCCGGUGACAAACCGGAGGAAGGUGGGGAUGACGUCAAGUCCUCAUGGCCUUUAUGACCAGGGCUACACACGUACUACAAUGGCCGGUACAAAGGGCAGCGACACAGCGAUGUGAAGCCAAUCCCGAAAAGCCGGUCUCAGUCCGGAUUGGAGUCUGCAACUCGACUCCAUGAAGUUGGAAUCGCUAGUAAUCGCGGAUCAGCACGCCGCGGUGAAUACGUUCCCGGGGCUU